GGGCAUAUAGCUCAGUUGGUUAGAGCGCUACAUUGACAUUGUAGAGGUCCCCUGUUCGAGUCAGGGUAUGCCCA
rnacentral:tRNA from 1 species